rnacentral:lncRNA from 1 species
UUGAAAGGACACAACCUUUUAGAUACCUUUUAGAUAAAGAGGUUAUACUAUUUUGUUUAAAACUCAGGAUUAAUACCCUUUCCAUAGAAAUGGCGUCUCUAAAUAAGGCCACACCUUUUUGUUCAUAAAUUGUGUCGGUUAGAAAAACUUUUUAGGCAACCAAAAUAACUGCAACCAUUUAGCCACCUUUGUCAAAGAAUCGCAAUAACUGCCACCCUUCCUCGCUACGGAAUCCCAAACGCCAGCAUGUUCAUUAUAUUCAAAUCCCCUUCAAAAAUAAUCCCAAAACCUUCCCCUAGUUUCACUCGACAUCAAAGAAGGGUCGAUUUCAAUGAACACUACAUCGGAAUCGUCGCGGUAUCAUGAUCUGACAAGGUGACCCUUCAAUGAACACUACAUCGGAAUCGUCGCGGUAUCAUGAUCUGACAAGGUUUCUGGUCACACACAUCGGUGCGAAAGUAAUCGCCAACGCACGCGCCGGUGACCGGAAUUAAUUUUAAACUUUUUCUAUCCCGGCAUCAACCUGUUUAUCAUAACGUGGGCCUAGCAAUUGACUCAUGAAUACAAUUCGCAUGUGUAUGCAUCAUCGAAAACAAUGAAUUUCAAUUGGAGUUUAUGAUGUGUGUAUGUAUAGAUACAAACAACAUGUAAGUCUUUGAUUGCCCCUUUGCAGAGGAAACUACUGUGUUUUUUGUAUGUGUGGUUUUAAGAGAGAAGAAGGAAUAAGGGAUUUCUUGGGUUGGUGCGAGUUACUUUGAUUUCUUGGAUCAUGUGUGUUUAUGAUCAUGGGAAUUUUUGAAAAAAAGGUCAGUUGAAAAUGUUUGUUG